rnacentral:rRNA from 1 species
UACAGAGGGGGCAAGCGUUGUUCGGAAUUACUGGGCGUAAAGCGCACGUAGGUGGCGACGUAAGUCGGGUGUGAAAGCCCCGGGCUCAACCUGGGAAUUGCAUUCGAGACUGCAUUGCUGGAGUACGGAAGAGGAGGGCGGAAUUCCCGGUGUAGCGGUGAAAUGCGUAGGUAUCGGGAGGAACAUCAGUGGCGAAGGCGGCCCUCUGGUCCAGUACUGACACUCAAGUGCGAAAGCGUGGGGAGCAAACAGG